UACAGAGGUCUCAAGCGUUGUUCGGAUUCAUUGGGCGUAAAGGGUGCGUAGGCGGCGCGGUAAGUCGGGUGUGAAAUCUUGGAGCUUAACUCCGAAACUGCAUUCGAUACUGCCAUGGCUAGAGUCCGGUAGGGGACCACGGAAUUCCUGGUGUAGCGGUGAAAUGCGCAGAUAUCGUAAGGAAGACCAGUGGCGAAGGCGGGUCUCUGGACAGUUCCUGACGCUGAGGCACGAAGGCCAGGGGAGCGAAAGCGGG
rnacentral:rRNA from 1 species